rnacentral:rRNA from 1 species
CCUACGGGAGGCAGCAGUAGGGAAUUUUUGGCAAUGGGGGGAACCCUGACCGAGCAACGCCGCGUGAACGAAGAAGUUAUUCGUAAUGUAAAGUUCUUUUAACAGGGAAGAAAGAGAAAGUUGAUGGCACCUGAAGAAUAAGCUCCGGCUAACUACGUGCCAGCAGCUGCGGAAAUACGUAGGGAGCGAGGGUUACCCGGAAUGAUUGGGCGAAAGGGGGGGGUAGAUGGCAUGGCAAGUCGUUUCGAAAAAUGCUGGGCUCAACCCAGUAGGUCAAAAGAUACUGGAAAGCUAGAGUAUGACAGAGGCAAGUGGAACUACAUGUGUAGCGGUAAAAUGCGUAGAUAUAUGUAAGAACACCAGUGGCGAAGGCGGCUUGCUGGGUCGUUACUGACAUUGAGGCACGAAAGCGUGGGGAGCAAACAGGAUUAGAUACCCCUGUAGUC